rnacentral:tRNA from 1 species
GGAGAGAUGGCCGAGUGGCUGAAGGCGCACGCCUGGAAAGCGUGUGUACCUGAAAGGGUAUCGUGGGUUCGAAUCCCACUCUCUCCG